ACAAAACAAAAACAGAAAGCAUUAGUGACUCCCGCAGAAAAUAGUGAAAAUAAUUAACUAAAAAUAAGAAACAUACAUACAAUCGCAGGCAAUAAAAUCAUGCAGUAACUACCAUAACUAACAGCCACAGGAGGGCACACUCUAACACACAAAUCAUCUAUGAGAAAACCUACUGACGUGCGAAGGACUCUAGUAGCCCCUAACCUACAACCCUGAUU
rnacentral:lncRNA from 1 species